AAUUCUCAAACCAACAACUUGUUUGUUGGCUUUGGACUUUGAGGGUUGUUGAUGAAAGUCGACUCCCUUUAAAUAUAUUAGCUGGCAUUUGACUGCCAGACUAUGGUGUGAUAAUUAUCUACGCUGUUGUCUGACAUGUUGGCCGCUUCUAAUCGUCUUCGGACAACUUUUGACA
rnacentral:misc_RNA from 1 species